rnacentral:pre_miRNA from 1 species
UGGGCUUCCAUUAUCUUUCCCAGCAGGUUCACGAACGUAUGCUGGCAAGAAAUGGCAGUCCACA